rnacentral:lncRNA from 10 species
CAGACUGCACAGAUGGAACAUGGAAAGGCUUUUAACAGAAAUGAAUACUUUCAGACUAGGUUUGAAGGACUGAGUAGGAGUAAACUAAAAGAGAAAAAGCAGGACAAAAGAAGCACCACUUUGGAAGCUCAAAGCCGCACUGGAAACACAGUCUUUCAGGAUGUCUGAAAGGGGCAAGUCUGUUUGUGUGGGGUAAGAAAUGCGGGGAGACAAACGGACAGUGGACAGAUUGCAGAGAGCUCUGUGUGCUGAGAGGAGGGUGCAGACCAGAUUUUUAAAUUGAGAAUGCAACAGUGAAGGAUUUCAAGCUUGGAGUGAGAGGGGAGACUACGAGCCUGCAGUGAUAAGGCAAAGCUGAAGAUUUCAGAGCCAAGGCCACACCCUACAGUUGCCAUGGAAUGGGGUGGCACAGUGGGCUUUGGAGGUAAAGUCUGCAGUUGAGAAGUUCAAGGGUAAUAUACAGGGAGUCCACGGAGCCUCCCCUGCAAGCAUCAGUACAGAAGUCGAUGAUAAUCUGGAUGCAAGCCCAGGAGUGUGGAGUCCACUGACUCAGAAGACCUGCAUCUAAGGAAUUGGCUGUUCUUAUCCUUAAGAAUGAUGACUGUGUUUCCAAUUCCAGUAGACCCUUUGAUGCGUUCUGAAUAAAUAUUCCUUUUGGAAUUGAACUUCUAGAGCCCUUAACUUUGGCCCACUCUAGUUUUCUGUCUGUUUUUUUUUUUUUUAAUAUUUUUUUUUUGUAAAGAUAAGGUCUUGCUUUGUUGCCCAGGCUGGUCUUGAAUUCCUGGACUCAAGCAAUCCACCUGCCUUGGCCUCCCAAAGUGCUGGGAUUAUAGGUGUGAACCAUUGUGUCCGAUCGCUCUCUGGUUUUUCUAAUAUCAUGAUCCCAACUCUGUUCUUUAUGUAAAUUUCCCUGAUCACAUGGUUGUAUCUUGGCAUUUCAAAAUCCUUGACAGACUUUGUUUUGUUUGAAUUUUACAAUGAACUUACAUGACUAGGCACGGUCCCCAGUUCAGUUUUAUAGACAAGGAUUCUGUAGGUCAAGAAGUGAAACACAACCAAUAACAGCAGGUGACAGGAUUUAAACCUGGGUCACUUUACUUAUUUUUUUCUACUCUAUCAUUAUGUGAAUCUAUCCUACCUCUGCAAUGACAGAUGGCCCUAGAGCAAGAACACUUCCUUACAUCUGGUAUACAGUCAAAAAGUAAAAAUUCCACACAAAUAAAUAUGGAAAGAAUUUUUACCUGCUCCUAUAGCUUCCUUUCAGGGACCUGGCACCCACAAAUGUUGGGUAACAGAAAGAGGACUUAUGUAACUUAACUCAAAGCAGAAAAGUUACAGAGACUGUCUUAGCAUAAUAGAGCAUGGAGUGGUCAUGCUUGGAUGUGCAAACUGUCUGAUAGUCUUGCACAUGGCUUGACCCCGAAUUACACUAGUGGGGCAAGUUGCCUGGGGCAAAGCAAACUUAUUGGACCCAAAGCUCUCAUUUGAGAAUUUUGUUGACUAAAAGUUAUAAAAUAUCAGCAAUUUCAUAUGGUUCAGCCUAAUAUUUUAUCACUCUUCCUUUUUCUAUUCUAAAACAAUAAUUUUUAAUAACGUAAGCUAUACACAUACAUGCUUUAAACAUACAACACCCUGACUAUCAUAUAGUGGAUAUUUCAAGAAGUAAAUGUUCAGCAUGUCUUCACCCCCACUUGAAGACAUAAUGUAUGUAUUAGGCUGUUCUGGCAUUGCUAUAAAGAAAUACCUGAGACUGUGUAAUUUAUAAGAAAGGAGCUUUAAUUGGCUCACGGUUCUGCAGGCUGUACAGGAAACAUAUUGGGUCUACUUCUGUGGAGGCUUCAGGGAACUUUGACUCAUGGUGGAAGGUGAAAUGAGAGCAGGCACCUCAUGUGACUGAAGCAGGAGCAAGAAAGAGAGAGCGAGCAAGGUGCCACACACUCUUAAACAACCAGAACUCUCUCUUGAGAAUUCACUCACUGUCUUGCCGUCAGCACCAAAGGGAUGGUCCUAAACCAUUCAUGAGAAAUCCUCCUCCAUGAUCCAAUCACCUCUCACCAGGCCCUACCCCCAACACUGGGAUUACAAUUCAAC